rnacentral:lncRNA from 1 species
GGCAUCUCAUCCUUGGCUCUCUUUUCCUUCAUCCAUAUAUACUCAUAUGAUCCUCGCAAGACCUUAUACAUCUUCAAUGUUUGAGCCAUCAUCUCACCAGCCCUUUGAGUCGCCGAAGUUCUUCAUCCACCCUCACUUCUAAAGAGAAGCUUUCCGAGUUAAGAGUGGCUUUGGACGUGGUGGAUAAGAAAAGAAGAGAGGCACAUAGCUGCCCAUCUUUUUCCUUUGAAUCAUG